UACGGAGGGGGCUAGCGUUGUUCGGAAUUACUGGGCGUAAAGGGUGCGUAGGUGGUUUUGGUAAGUUAUCUGUGAAAUCCCCGGGCUCAACCUGGGCCGGUCAGAUAAGACUGCUGAACUCGAGUAUAGGAGAGGGUAGUGGAAUUUCCGGUGUAGCGGUGGAAUGCGUAGAGAUCGGGAAGAACACCAAUGGCGAAAGCAGGUAACUGGACUAUUACUGACACUAAACUGCGAAAGCUAGGGGAGCAAACAGG
rnacentral:rRNA from 1 species